rnacentral:lncRNA from 1 species
UUUUAGAAAAUUGACAGCUUCACCCUUGUCAAGAGCAUGCAUCCUUGCCCAAUUAGGAAACACCCAUUCCAGAGAUCCAUACCAUUCUGGAGGUAGCCCCAAAUUACCGUAUGUAAUUGCAGGUUCCACACCCUGAUGUGCAAUAUUAUGUAUCACUAAUAUACUACGUGCAUCCUUAUACACCCCAUGUGGACGAUACUUCGCUGCCAAAAGUCUGCAACACAAUUGAAGUACCAGGAUUCAUCCUUAGUAACACAGUAAUACCACCUCAGAAAAAUCAGAUGAAACUUCAAAUGAAAAAAUCUUUAUGUCACAGUGAAGCCUAACAAUAAUAACUUCAAUAAAAAAAGAAGAAUCAAAAGUGAAGUUUCUAAAAUUAAUAGAAAAUUAUAGGACUUCUGGCGGUCAUUGGAAGAAACAUGGUCUUUAUCAACGCAAAAGUAUUUACUCGUAAUAUUUGAAUAAAGAAAAACUUAAAUUGGCACUUGACAGAAACAGUAUAGUACAUGUUUGAGGAAAACAACACAAGUUGUAUCUCUUCUUCAUUGAAAAGGAAAGAGGGGGAGGGGGACUGAAAUGUUAAAAGCAUGGAUAAAGGUAAGCAUGCAUACGUUGGAACUAGGCUGGCAUGCCAGUCAUUGACAAGGAAUAAACACUUAUCUCCAUAAGUGAACCCUCCUAAAGGAAGCACCAAUGGGGCUUCACAUGCUGCAUAGGAAAGUAAAGUGAACCGAAACUGUAAAACCAAAUGAAAAAGAAAUUUAUCAUUAUUCAUGACUAAAAAGAAAACAGAAUACAAAUCCGAAAUCAAAGCUACAAUUAUUAAAGAUUGUACCUGAUUAUCCCCAAAAGUCCCAAAUUUGUCCCCAUAUGGAUUCCCUGGUCUACGGAAUGAGGGGUGAUCCACAAACACCUAAACAAUAAGGUAUUUAUGAGUAUCAUCAAUACAGGCUCAAAGUAAAAAUGUGAUGUAAGAAAUUGAAUGGUUCCGAACAACAUAACAGUAGCCAAUGUCUAAAGAAUCAGAAGUGCAUACCCAAUCAACACCUUCCCUAAACUCAUGGAAAAAGCCAACUUCUUGAACACUACCAAAGCAAUAUAGUUGGAUGCGGCGAUUCAGAUCAACAGCACCAGAAAACUUUUCAUCCCCGGGAGUACUAUUUAUGUACAUGGGAGAGACAACCAUGACACGGUGUCCGCGAGCUGCUAGUGCUAUUGGCAAUUGUUAAGUUGCAUAAGUUAUUACCUCCAUGUUAACCAACUUUUAUGGGAGAAAACCAUAAUGUAGUCAAGUCCAAUACCAACAUUGAUCUUAAACAAAUAAAAUAAAUCAAAGAUGUCUAUUCUCAUUACAGAGAACUAUCAAUCCCAAACUCGGGUUUAACUUGCUCAAAGAAUUGAAGGUCCUCUAGGAAUAUAAACCACAAUCAUGAAUUCGGUAAUUAUUGAACCAUAACAUAAACCUUUCAUAGAAUUGAGUUGGAAGUGUAUGCAACAAGAAAAAAUGUUAAGAACAUACCACUGAGUACACUUUUUCGACUGCUUAAUAGCUCGUGUAGACCAUAUCCACCUUCCCUAGUUGUUAUUUCCCAGGAAUAACCCUACAAAGAGAGGCAACUUUUUCAGCAUCAUAUCAUUACAGAAUCAAAUACAAGACAGCAAAAAGAUUUCUAUGAUACUGUAGGUAUUACAAAAAAAGUGAUCCACGCUUUUAAGUUCUAUGUGAUUAAAGAACAUCAUAAAAUAAGUAUGGAAUCUGAAGACCAGAAAGAAUGUUGAGCAAUGAACGGAUACCCAAUAUUUGACUCAAUAAAACAUUGGGAAACAAAAUAUAUGAUAUGCAGUAUUAUUACCUUGCUUACUGUUAGUAUCCGGUCCGAUGUUACAAUGGCACCUUUUAGAAAAUUGACAGCUUCACCCUUGUCAAGAGCAUGCAUCCUUGCCCAAUUAGGAAACACCCAUUCCAGAGAUCCAUACCAUUCUGGAGGUAGCCCCAAAUUACCGUAUGUAAUUGCAGGUUCCACACCCUGAUGUGCAAUAUUAUGUAUCACUAAUAUACUACGUGCAUCCUUAUACACCCCAUGUGGACGAUACUUCGCUGCCAAAAGUCUGCAACA